rnacentral:rRNA from 1 species
UACGUAGGGUGCGAGCGUUGUCCGGAAUUAUUGGGCGUAAAGGGCUCGUAGGCGGUCUGUUGCGUCAGGAGUGAAAACUCGGGGCUUAACCCCGAGCCUGCUUCUGAUACGGGCAGACUAGAGGUAUGCAGGGGAGAACGGAAUUCCUGGUGUAGCGGUGAAAUGCGCAGAUAUCAGGAGGAACACCGGUGGCGAAGGCGGUUCUCUGGGCAUGUCCUGACGCUGAGGAGCGAAAGUGUGGGGGAGCGAACAGG